rnacentral:lncRNA from 1 species
CCGUUUGGAUCACUAGCAGCUAAAUUUAGCCGGCUAAAAUUUAGUUAUAAAAACUAUCAUGACAUCUAAAAUCUUACAUACUCGAGUGUGCUCAAAGCUAACAUUCAACUAUACCAUGGUAGCACACAUUAGUGGAAGUAUGUAAUAGAUAUAUUUAGAAUCUAUUUGGAGGAGCUAAACUUCAGCGCAUAUUAACAGUGUAAUAUAUAUUAGCACUCUUGUUUGGAUGGACUAGUGUUAAGUUUUAGCACUUUCAUCCAUUAGCGUUAGGAUCCAAACGGAACCUUAAUUGUAUAUAUGUCAUCUUACGCCAUUUUAAAAACAAUUUAGCAGCAGUUUCGCUUGAAAAGUUAAAGAUAAGAUAAUUUAUGCUCUUCCCACGUGGAUGAUCCGCUACUUAAUAAGUGAUAAAUUGACAUACUUUUUGGAACAUCCGAUAAAUAUUAUCCAAAAAGGAUUCACACUUAGUUGACCCAAGUGACUGGUAAGAGUAUCCGAACAUCCUUACCUCGUAUAGCAUACUUUUCGUACGAGAUCUCAAUUCACACGAAAACUCGCGAGAACAAGACUAUAAUAUCCACGUACCUUUUUAAGGAAUCUUUCGGGUCCCACCGAUUUUCUACUUUUCUGUCCCGCGGCAUCAUCACAUCACUGUUUCAGCAAGCAAGAAAGAUCCUGGGUCUCGUGUCAACGGGACCGAGGACCUUGAUUCACAUGGUCCCUCGCCAGUGCCGGCCAGUCCGCCGCGCCGGCGGCCGGAGCCAUACGCGACGCGCGAUCGAUCCGAUCACCGGCCGGCCGGUCGCGGGCUUCGCGUGCACGCCUCUGCCUCGCUUGCUCCGUCUCAGGUUCUCCGCAUAGUCUUCGUGUUGACUUGGAGAUGCUUUGUUCCGCGGCGAGGAGGGAGGAGGGAUCCCAUUGGCGCGUCGGCGAGCGGAGCCAGAGAGAGAGAGAGAGAGAGAGAGACAGG